rnacentral:rRNA from 1 species
CUACGGGUUGCAGCAGUGGGGAAUUUUGCGCAAUGGGGGAAACCCUGACGCAGCAAUACCGCGUGAGUGAAGAAGGCCUUUGGGUCGUAAAGCUCUUUUCUUGGGGAAGAUAGUGACGGUACCCAAGGAAUAAGCACCGGCUAACUCCGUGCCAGCAGCCGCGGUAAUAGGGAGGGUGCAAGCGUUGGUCGGAUUUACUGGGCGUAAAGGGCACGUAGGCGGCACAGCAAGUUAAGGGUGAAAUCCCGGGGCUCAACUCCGGAACUGCUCUUAAAACUGCUGAGCUAGAGAUAGUCAGAGGCGGGUGGAAUUCCAGGUGUAGAGGUGAAAUUCGUAGAUAUCUGGAGGAACACCGGUGGCGAAGGCGGCCCGCUGGGGCUAUUCUGACGCUAAGGUGCGAAAGCGUGGGGAGCAAACGGGAUUAGAUACCCCGGUAGUC